GGCAUGGUGGUUUAGUGGUUGGCACUGUUACCUUGCACCUUCAGGGUUGAGGGUUCGAAUCCCACCUCUGCCC